UACGAAGGGGGCUAGCGUUGCUCGGAAUCACUGGGCGUAAAGGGCGCGUAGGCGGCUUUAUAAGUCGGGGGUGAAAGCCUGUGGCUCAACCACAGAAUUGCCUUCGAUACUGUAGAGCUUGAGACCGGAAGAGGUAAGUGGAACUGCGAGUGUAGAGGUGAAAUUCGUAGAUAUUCGCAAGAACACCAGUGGCGAAGGCGGCUCACUGGCCCGGUACUGACGCUGAGGUGCGAAAGCGUGGGGAGCAAACAGG
rnacentral:rRNA from 1 species